rnacentral:rRNA from 1 species
CAGUAGCCGCGGUAAUACGAAGGGUGCAAGCGUUACUCGGAAUUACUGGGCGUAAAGCGCACGUAGGCGGACACUUAAGUCAGAGGUGAAAUCCCAAGGCUCAACCUUGGAACUGCCUUUGAUACUGGGUGUCUUGAGUUCGGGAGAGGUAAGUGGAACUGCGAGUGUAGAGGUGAAAUUCGUAGAUAUUCGCAAGAACACCAGUGGCGAAGGCGGCUCACUGGCCCGAUACUGACGCUGAGGUGCGAAAGCGUGGGGAGCAAACAGGAUUAGAUACCCGCGUAGUCCCUGUCUCUUAUAC